rnacentral:tRNA from 1 species
GGGUAUAACUUAGUGGUAGGGUGUUUGCCUAGCAUGGAAGAAACCUUGGGUUCAAUCCCCAGCACCACCCA